rnacentral:rRNA from 1 species
CGGGGAAUAUUGCGCAAUGGGCGAAAGCCUGACGCAGCAACGCCGCGUGGGGGAUGAAGGCUCUCGGGUUGUAAACCCCUUUCAGCAGGGACGAAAUUGACGGUACCUGUAGAAGAAGCCCCGGCCAACUACGUGCCAGCAGCCGCGGUAACACGUAGGGGGCGAGCGUUGUCCGGAUUUAUUGGGCGUAAAGAGCUCGUAGGCGGCUCAGUAAGUCAGGUGUGAAACCUCCAGGCUCAACCUGGAGACGCCACCUGAUACUGCUGUGGCUUGAAUCUGGUAGGGGAGUGUGGAAUUCCCGGUGUAGCGGUGAAAUGCGCAGAUAUCGGGAGGAACACCAGUGGCGAAGGCGGCACUCUGGGCCAGUAUUGACGCUGAGGAGCGAAAGCGUGGGGAGCGAACAGG